GGACGGGUCCUGUGCAAUGAUGGGGUGUGAACCUUGUCAGGCCCGGAAGGGAGCAGCAAUCAGCACGGUACAUCAUGUGCCGCGGGGUUGCCUGGCCCGA
rnacentral:SRP_RNA from 1 species